GACGAACGCUGGCGGCAUGCCUAACACAUGCAAGUCGAACGAGACCUUCGGGUCUAGUGGCGCACGGGUGCGUAACGCGUGGGAACCUGCCCUUAGGUUCGGAAUAACUCCCCGAAAGGGGUGCUAAUACCGGAUAAUGUCUUCGGACCAAAGGUUUAUCGCCUUUGGAUGGGCCCGCGUUGGUUUAGCUAGUUGGUAGGGGAAAAGCCUACCAAGGGGACGAUCCAUAGCUGGUCUGAGAGGAUGAUCAGCCACACUGGGACUGCGACACGGCCCAGACUCCUACGGGCGGCAGCAGUGGGGAAUAUUGGCCCAUGGGCGAUAGCCUGAUCCAGCAAUGCCGCGUGAGUGAUGAAGGCGUUAGGGUUGUAAAGCUCUUUUAACCGGGAUGAUAAUGACAGUACCGGGAGAAUAAGCGCCGGCUAACUCCGUG
rnacentral:rRNA from 1 species